rnacentral:rRNA from 1 species
AUACGGAGGAUGCGAGCGUUAUCCGGAUUUAUUGGGUUUAAAGGGAGCGUAGGUGGGAUAUUAAGUCAGCUGUGAAAGUUUGGGGCUCAACCUUAAAAUUGCAGUUGAUACUGGUUUCCCUGAGUACGGUACAGGUGGGCGGAAUUCGUGGUGUAGCGGUGAAAUGCUUAGAUAUCACGAAGAACUCCGAUCGCGAAGGCAGCUCACCGGGCCGGAACUGACACUUAUGCUCGAAAGUGCGGGUAUCAAACAGGAUUAGAUACCCUGGUAGUCCGCACAGUAAACGUUGAAUACUCGAUUUUUGCGAUACACUGUAAGCGGUCUAGCGAAAACGUUAAGUAUUCCACCUGGGGAGUACGCCGGCAACGGGGAAACUCAAAUGAAUUGACGGGU